CUCGCGGCCUAUCAGCUAGUUGGUGGGGUAACGGCCUACCAAGGCAACGACGGGUAGCUGGUUUGAGAGAACGAUCAGCCACACUGGGGACUGAGACACGGCCCAGACUCCUACGGGAGGCAGCAGUGGGGAAUCUUGCGCAAUGGGCGAAAGCCUGACGCAGCAACGCCGCGUGCGGGAUGACGGCCUUCGUGGUUGUAAACCGCUUUCAGCAGGGCGAAAAUGACGGUACCUGCAGAAGAAGCCCCGGCUAACUACGUGCCAGCAGCCGCGGUAAUACGUAGGGGGCAAGCGUUGUCCGGAUUCAUUGGGCGUAAAGAGCUCGUAGGCGGUUCAGUAAGUCGGGUGUGAAAGCUCCGAGCUCAACUCGGAGAGGCCACCCGAUACUGCUGUGACUUGAGUCCAGUAGAGGA
rnacentral:rRNA from 1 species